rnacentral:rRNA from 1 species
UUGUUGGUAAGGUAAAAGCUUACCAAGGCUUCGAUCAGUAGCUGGUCUGAGAGGACGACCAGCCACACUGGGACUGAGACACGGCCCAGACUCCUACGGGAGGCAGCAGUGGGGAAUUUUGGACAAUGGGGGCAACCCUGAUCCAGCCAUGCCGCGUGAGUGAAGAAGGCCUUCGGGUUGUAAAGCUCUUUCAGCCGGAACGAAACGGUUACGGUUAACACCCGUGACUACUGACGGUACCGGAAGAAGAAGCACCGGCUAACUACGUGCCAGCAGCCGCGGUAAUACGUAGGGUGCGAGCGUUAAUCGGAAUUACUGGGCGUAAAGCGUGCGCAGGUGGUUUUGUAAGUCAGAUGUGAAAGCCCCGGGCUCAACCUGGGAACUGCGUUUGAAACUACAAGACUAGAGUGUGGCAGAGGGGGGUGGAAUUCCGCGUGUAGCAGUGAAAUGCGUAGAGAUGUGGAGGAACACCGAUGGCGAAGGCAGCCCCCUGGGUCAACACUGACGCUCAGGCACGAAAGCAUGGGGAGCAAACAGGAUUAGAUACCCUGGUAGUCCAUGCCCUAAACGAUGUCAACUAGUUGUCGGGCCUUUACGGGCUUGGUAACGUAGCUAACGCGUGAAGUUGACCGCCUGGGGAGUACGAUCGCAAGAUUAAAACUCAAAUGAAUUGACGGGGACCCGCACAAGCGGUGGAUUAUGUGGAUUAAUUCGAUGCAACGCGAAAAACCUUACCUACCCUUGACAUGUAUCGAAGCCCGCAGAACAGCGGGGGUGCCCGAAAGGGAACGAUAACACAGGUGCUGCAUGGCUGUCGUCAGCUCGUGUCGUGAGAUGUUGGGUUAAGUCCCGCAACGAGCGCAACCCUUGUCAUUAAUUGCCAUCAUUUAGUUGGGCACUUUAAUGAGACUGCCGG